CAGCAGCCGCGGGAAUACGGAGGGUGCAAGCGUUAAUCGGAAUUACUGGGCGUAAAGCGCACGCAGGCGGUCUGACAAGUCAGAUGUGAAAUCCCCGGGCUUAACCUGGGAACUGCAUUUGAAACUGUCAGGCUGGAGUCUUGUAGAGGGGGGUGGAAUUCCAGGUGUAGCGGUGAAAUGCGUAGAGAUCUGGAGGAAUACCGGUGGCGAAGGCGGCCCCCUGGACAAAGACUGACGCUCAGGUGCGAAAGCGUGGGGAGCAAACAGGAUUAGAUACCCCUGUAGUCCCUGUCUCUUAUCA
rnacentral:rRNA from 1 species